AGAAAACCACACAGCAGCUUCAGCUGAGCUGUCAAUCAGCAGCAGCAGCCUUAUCUGUCCGCCGCAGGGGCUGAUGGGAGGUCUGAGGACCCGUUAGAAACCACGCGGCCCUCGUCUGAUCUCACAGCUCGUCCUUGUUUGGCCUCAGCUGCAUCAGAGCGCCACUUCUCCCCAGGUUCACCAGAGGAAACACCACUGCACACAAUGCUUUUCCUCCCAGCUGCUGCUCUGUGCUGUCUGUGUUCAGCGCUGGUUGCCAUGGCAGCAGACCUGAUUCAGGAUUUAACAUGGACCAGGAGAGUCGAUGAAACUGUUUCCUUCAGCUGUCGAGGAACUGACCAGUGUUACAGUGGCAGCUGGAUAUACUGGUACCAGAAGAAAGACACAGAAACAUUCACAGCGAUUCUUUAUAUUGAUAGGAAUAAUGAUCAAGUUCAUAAAAAUCCCAAUCAUCCUCAGAAAGAUGAUUUCUCAGCUGUGAAUAAUCAGAACGGCUGGGAAUUGCAGAUCCAGAAAGUUAACACCACUCAUUCAGCCACCUACUACUGCUCCUGUUGGAAGAGUGGUCUCCACAGUGAGAAAUGAUCCGUGCAGC